GGGGAUAUAGCUCAGUUGGUAGAGUGCUUGCUUGUCAAGCAUGAGGUCCUGGGUUCAAUACCCAGCACUGCCA